GAGAGAGAGUAAAAAGUGCGCUCCUGAACCAGUCAUCUUCGUUCCGCCAUCGCCGGCCGCGGCCGAUCAUGGAUUGAUGAUUGUGAUAAUGUGCUCUGUAAAGGGAUGGGGAAUGUGGCACGCAGCAACUGGAGCGUCCAUCUCACCUCGCACCUGUCCAUGCGGCACCAGUGGUUUCACCUUUGUUGGUCGUCCAGCUCUAGAUGGAGCACUAAAAGCACGUGCGGCUGGAGAUGGAUGCACUUCAGACUCACUCUCGGUUACUGCGAAAUGUUGACGCAUAUAUAUUUGUUUUUGAAAAUUAUUCAACCGCGAAGAUUUUUUUUGACGCAUAAAGAUUUGUUCUCGAAAAUUAUUCAACCGCGAAGAUUUUUUUGAUGCAUAUAUAUUUGUUCUUGAAAAUUAUUCGACCGCGAAGAACUUUUUCUUUUGUAAUUUUCCCUCUGAAUGGAGGUCACUAAAGUUGUUUUUCCCUAUAUAGGGUUGACGGUGAAAUAAUCUGACCUCAUCCCCAUGAACGAAAAAAUAUGAAAAUUUUUUAUGUUGCUUUUUAGAUUUACUACUUUGUGCGGUCAAGAUAUUGUUGUUCCUCAUGGUGACGCCAUGCGAUCUUUUUUUUUCAGCGCGUUGAAACAUUAGUAGAAGGAAUGCGGCUUCAAGAAAAGAAAAAAAAAGUGCCAAGGGUUUCCCAAACGUACAGGGGCAAGAGGAUGAGGUAAGUGAGAGUGUAUUUCCGGACCACACACUGCUGAUAUCAUGAGGAUAUCCUAUAUAUUGAUAAUAAGCGGCGUAAAGGCGAUGGCAAAGCGACCGUGUGCUUGUCACUGGACCUCUUCUUUCUCCAAGCCAACUAGAUUCAACUGCUCUGAUGAUCAAACAUUACCUGAAUUAUCGCCCUCCGUGGAAGACAAAAAAAAAAGAAUCUGAAUAUGACAUCGUAACUGCAUUUUUCUUGAAAAAAAACAUGCAAAUCCGCAUUUAUUCGCCUUUGAUAGUUCAGUGGAUGGUGACACAUUGGUAGGUGUGGAGCUGAAGCCCAUGGGACUGUUUCAAGCUUCAACACAAUUUAACAAGGAGACACUGCGCGUAUUCUACGCAUACAGUUCAUAAUAAAUUUUUACGGGACAUUCCAACAGACUUUGAGAAUGCAAGAAGGAUGACGCAUGUUGGAACUUGCUCUGCCUACAUCAUCAUCCUAAUCCAUGACCUUCUCUUGGUCAGAGGUUUUUACAUUGGUUUUGCUUCAAACUAGUACUACCACUAGUUGGUCUGAGCCAUCCGUUGUUUGGAUCAAACAACUUUUUAAAGUUAACUAACUCUGCUCAGGUCAAACAACCACUAGAUUUUCUCACUGGUCAGCUUGCUUAAUUAUCUUCUGGUAUUAUUCUGUUCGUGCUCCGUCAGUCUCUGAUUGUAACUAUCACUCUGCUUGUCCAACAACCUCCUGUGUCAAAUAUCUGACAAGGCCUUCGCCUCUCAGCUAGGGCAGGCAGGUUCAUGCGGUCUCACACAUGCAUGGGUGCUGGGUUUGUCAAACUGUCUGACCUGAUUUGCACGAACAAAUGAACGUUCCUGGAAACGCUCUUGUGCUGCGUGCAUUCAUGCGUUUGCUUGGCAAUUCCGCAAUUGCAUAUGUUUUCCAUUCAUCAAGUCCUUUUCUAGCACAUCUUCCCUUGACUCCAUUCCUUAAUGUGCAGGUCCAUAGGUUUAUUUUGCUUAACUGAAGCAUGUCCAGAGCAGGACAGAUGCUUUAGUUCAGAAUAGAAGAUUCUUGGCAAUUUUGCACGAGCUUAAAAGUUUGGGGGUUCAUGCAUCCAUGGACACCUAUGCUGCUCUGCUGCUCAAGGUCGACACGCAAGUGGCUAUGUUAGUACUAUGUUAGACGACUGAUUUUAGAAGCUUCUGUGUUUGAGCUCUAUUUUUGCCACUUAACCUUUUGCUUGUUCCUUCUUCCUCUCAAAUUCCAGAUGCAAUUACUGCUGCAGUCAAAUUUGUAGGUAAGCCAGUCCACGAAAAAAAAACUGUAUCCUUUUCUUGAGCCCAUUGAAACGCCUCCCCUGGUUUCUGACU